GGGGCGCUCAGCGGGCUGAGGGCGGCCCUGGCGGGCAGGCUGGGCGCCUUGCCCGGGCGGCAAACCCUUGCAAACCGCCCGUGUCCGCUUUGCCAGCGGGGUUUUGUGUGUCAGUCUGCUAGAGGGUAGGGAAGCUUUACGUCGGCAUCUGGACGGGUUAGACCAAUGGGUCAAGGCGAAGUGUAUGAAGCUCAACGAGGCCUAGUGCUGUGUGCUGCAGCUGAGUCGCAACAGCCUCAUGGUAAUCUACAGACGUGGGGAUUCAAGGAAAGAACAGGUGUAACUGAAGUCAAAUGAAGGAGUUCUGAUGAGAAAACACCUUUGUCAUGUGAGAUACUACCAGUGUUAAGGAGACAGCUGGCCAUGGUAUAACAUGUGGUGUCUGGCUUUAGAGUGGAAGCCUUGCUGCUUCUUCAUCACCUGAAGUGUUGUCAGCUCUUUGUAUGUGCUUCACAAAGUACGUGGAUGAAGACAUUCAGCUGAAGACCUGCCAUGAUGUGAAGCAGCAAUUGAAGAUAAGUAGUCAGAGUCCAACUGGAAAGUAUAGGAGAAACUUUGAAAUUCCAGUUCAGGGCAUCACCUGUCUGUGGAGGUGGAUGUCUUUGGAACUGAACAGAGAUCAAGAUAAACUUCCUGUUAGACUGGGAUACUAUCUAAGGAAGAUGUCUGCAGGUUGAGUGAAUCCUCACCCCCAGCUUUGGCAAGUGUGUAUUUUGGGUAUCCUUGAGUGCAAGGUUUCACCUUUCAGUCAAUGUGCACACAUUUUGGUUCAUCUUUGUAGAAAGAAUAUUCCUUGAAGUUUAAGGUUAAAGCUUAACUGGUCAUGUAGUAGUUAUGUUCCUGACUGGCAUCUGAACUUACAAUUUAGUUGUGUCCAAAGGACUGAGUAAUUGUAAAAAAAAAUUUUUUCAAUAAAUCUGUGUUUUGGGUAGCCAUUGCUGGCUGGGUUUUGGGUGCUUUGGUGACAGCCUUGACAACUCUGUUUUAUCACAUAGCUGUUCAAAGACUUUGAGAGGAAGAGGACAGGAGCAGAAGCUGCAUCCUAGUCUUGGUUUCCUGUGAUUUGUUAAUAACAGACUUUGAGAGGGCAAGAGCAGAAGCUGAAUCUCAGUCUUGGUUUCCUGUGAUUUGUUAAUAACUGUGUAAGAUUACCACUGUGAUGCCACACAUUUCCCAGGUGUAGGAUGUGUUUAUCCUGGGCUUGCCUUAUUGGCUUUCUGUGAUUCAGUAUCCUGUAAGUGCUAUGGCAAGUCUGAAGUUUGUCUAUCACCAGUUCAGUCUUUCACUAUAGAUGUAUGAACACUGAAGCAAUUCAGAGCUCAUAGAAGUCUGUCACUAUGACAGCUAUGAAAUUCCAAUUAGACACUUUUUAAAUACUUCUGUACCACCCUCAGUUUCCACUAAAAUCAGUCAACUUACAGAGAUACUGAGAGAGCAGCAAGCACAUUCUUGGGAAACUUCCUCCAUGGAUGAUUUGCAUGAUGAGUUUAAUAUCACUUGUUUUCAGAUAGGGAAGAGUUAAUUAGUGAAACAUUAAAAACUGGUUAAUGAAAAAAGAAGAAAAAAAAAGUUGCCCUUAUGAUUCUGGAUUGCAGUUUGUUCUAACCACAGAAUUACUCACACUGGAAUACACCUCUGAGAUCAUCAGGUCCAGCCUAUGGACUAGAUGCGUCUGGCCAAAAACAUUCUACAAUUCAUUCUGUGAGCCUCACACCAAAGAAAUUUGUGCUGUGAUGCUGUUCUGGAAAUGCAGUUAUUUCCUCAGCUGUUUUUCAUGGAGAAAAAGGCCUCCUUCUCUCUCUGUUUUAUCUGAUUGUUAAAAAUUUCUGAUACUGUUCCAUGUGCUGAGUGAAUACUAUGACUGUGGUUACUAAGCUCUAGAAUAUGUGGAUAAAUUAUUCAACUUGAAACUCUGUCAUAGUCUUCAGAUGUGAAAAAAAAAGUCAUUUUAUUUAUUAAGAGGAAAUUUGCUUUCACUAAUAUUUCAGUGUUUGAUUUUAGUGUAACUGACACCUGUUGUAAUAAGUUUGUGAGCUAAAAAUCAGAUGAUGUUACAUCAAAAUAUGCUGUACUUAUAAAAAUUACAUUGAAAAUAUCUUUAGAUGACUUGACAUUUUAAUAUUAGGUAGAAAGCAGCAUGAUGUAACAAACUAAUGUUAUAAGAAUUACUUUGUGGGGGGAUGGAAUUGAUUCUUGAUUUCUGAAAAUUGGCACUUGACACACAGUGGAUCUGUAAGUUCAUUACUUGCUACACAAUAUAAAGAGUUUUCAGCAUACUUUUAAAAUAAUUUUUUUCCCUAGAAAAAUCUCAUGACAUUUGUCUAAUCUGUGCAAUAUUUUGAAGUA